rnacentral:misc_RNA from 1 species
GUCGAUGAUUAUAUUAUUCUACUGUUCACGUACCGACUGUUCAGUGGCGGAUACAACCUUCUAUGAGAC